rnacentral:rRNA from 1 species
GGCAUUCAGUUGGGCACUCUAAGGUGACUGCCGGCUAAAAGUCGGAGGAAGGUGGGGAUGACGUCAAAUCAUCAUGCCCCUUAUGACCUGGGCUACACACGUGCUACAAUGGGCGGUACAAAGGGUCGCGAACCCGCGAGGGGGAGCUAAUCCCAAAAAGCCGCUCUCAGUUCGGAUUGCAGGCUGCAACUCGCCUACAUGAAGUCGGAAUCGCUAGUAAUCGCGGAUCAGCACGCCGCGGUGAAUACGUUCCCGGGCCUU